UACGUAGGGUGCAAGCGUUAAUCGGAAUUACUGGGCGUAAAGCGUGCGCAGGCGGUUGUGCAAGACAGAUGUGAAAUCCCCGGGCUUAACCUGGGAAUGGCAUUUGUGACUGCACGGCUAGAGUGUGUCAGAGGGGGGUAGAAUUCCACGUGUAGCAGUGAAAUGCGUAGAGAUGUGGAGGAACACCGAUGGCGAAGGCAGCCCCCUGGGUCAAAACUGACGCUCAUGCACGAAAGCGUGGGGAGCAAACAGG
rnacentral:rRNA from 1 species